rnacentral:lncRNA from 1 species
AAGCUGCACAUUUCCUUCCCAGCUACUGGCUGCCAGAAGUUCAUUGAAGUAGAUAAUGACAGCAAACCUCAUACCUUUGUGAGAAGCGUAUGGCCACAGAAAUUGCUGCUGACACUCUGAGUGAAGAAUAGAAGGGUUAUGUGUACAAAAUCAGUAGUGGGAAAAAACAAACAAGUUUUCCUCAUGAAGCAGGGUACCUUGACCAUGGCCAUGUCUGCCUGCUGCUGAGCAGGGGCAUUCCUGUAAUAGACCAAGGAGGACUUGGGAAAGGAGGUGCUAAUCUGUUCUGGGUUUAUUGUGGACGCCAAUCUGUGUGUUCUCACUUUGGUUAUUUUUUUUUUUUUUAAGGAGGAAGAUAUUCUUGGACUGCCUUACUACUGUGCCUCGUCACCUGGGGCCUGAGAGAGCUAGCGGUGUCUGCAAAUUUUCCAACUCUCUAAAGAAGAUGAUGUCCACCAGUUUGCUAAGAGAAAGCCCCUGAAUAAAGACAGUAAGAAACUCAGGACCAAAUUGCUAGAGAUUCAGUGUCUUGUUACUCAGCAUGUCCUGCAAUACAGAUGUAAGCACAUUGUUCUAAACAAACAACAUACUUGAAAAAAAUAAGGACUAGGCAGCAGAAUAUGAUAAACUUUUGCCCAAGACACCAGAGAAGGCCAAAGAAAAACAAAACAAUAGGAACGGAUUGCCAAGAGAUGGGGGCUGUCUUCUCUGAGGGUUUCUGAGUCC